ensembl:lncRNA
CAACUGCGCCAUAAUCCGACAGGAUUUGUCUCCUUCCUCGUCACGGCUGGUUUCGGCGCUAAAGAUGGGCCUCCGCCUCCCUGGAGAUGAGCCAAUCAGAGAUGGAACGGACAGAGCGGUCGCCAGCCAUGGGUCCACCUUCCCAGAGCCGAACCCUUCAUGUGCUGUUAUUGGGGUGCCUGACAGCCGAAGUCAAAGGCAGCUCCCAGGGGAAGCAUGUGAGGCCUGAAGAAGAAAUCAGCGGCCAGAGCAGCACACCCACACAGCUGUGGGUCGGCGCAGUGAUUUCGGCGCAGCGAACAAUGGAGGGAGCGGGACGGCCGGGAUCUCGACACGGGGCUCGACCCCACUGCAUGAGGAAGACGGCGGAGGGGAGGCGGAGAAGAAGACGCGGCUGCGCUGUGAUGGCAGGGAAACCUUUAUUAGGGAAUGUUGUUGUCAAACGGCCUCGUCGCGUCCCUUGGCUUCCCGUGCAUUUCGGCCCGAAAUAUCGUUGCCCAAGUGACCCCUUCGAUGUCAGCGGUACCAGGCGAGGACAGACAGAUUUCCUAUGAUUUUUCAUUUUUAUUUUUAAAUUUAAUAGAUUAACUGUGCAGCACCGGGUCACAACAGCAUAAAAAGAGAAACGGGGCGCAGAUCAUGCAAAUUUGUCCACAUGCACGAAACAAGGGCAAGGGGUUACCGCAUUUCCAGGGUAAGAUGACAGACAGCUGUCUAAAAGGAACCGAAAAGGUGUCGAUCCAUUCCGAAACUGGCCUGAGUUAUCGUGAGGAACAAAUGUCAAUUUUUUCCAGCGAAACUGAACACUUUGCUGACCCACAUAUUAGAUUCAUGUCGAUCCCCAGGAGUACAACAGUGUAACAGAAAUACACUAGGAAUACAGUAAAAUAUACUUAGUUGCCCAGUAAGAAUAGCUCAGACCUUACCACCCGGGUUCACAACUGCACUCCUCACGCAGCGCCCCGCCCCACCCGGAGCAAUGCCAGGCGCCCCAGGCCCGCCGUCCCCCCCAUUGGUCCCCUGAUCCUGCAGGAGCGGGUGAUAGACCCGGGGGGGAAUCGCAUGCUGCUUCUGACUGACCAGAAAGGGAUUUUCUGAGGUCCUGUGCAAUUGAAGGAAUAAUACACUCUUUUUAAAUCUUUUUUUACAUCUCCCCACCCCCGCCCCUUUUCCCAGAACACGCUUCACUACUGAAUUAAUGGUUUUUAUCAUGCAGCUGUCAAAGAAUACCCAACACUGAGCCCUGUGUCUGUGUACCAGGGUUCAAAUGGUCUCAGGAGGAACAACUGGCAUUCCACAGCUCCUCCUGUUCUUCUGAAGGAGCUACUAUUUCCCAACUAACUUGCUUCACUUGCCUCUAGUGGUAAUUUGAAAUUCCGUGGUGUAAAAAUUCUGAGCGGUUCAAUGUUAUUGGCUCCUGUGGUGAACUCUGACCUCUGAUUGGCUACCUUCACUCCCCCUAAAGUUCAUUUCAGUAUAAGGUAACAGGUGUCACACUUUUUCUUACAGAUGUCACCUUGAAACCUGAGGGUGCUCAGUUUGAAUCCUCAACCA